AACCAGCACCUCAAGUGGUCAGGAUGAUUAUUGGGCCUAAAGCAUCCGUAGCUCGUUUUGUAAGUUUUCGGUUAAAUCCAUACGCUCAACGUAUGGGCUGCCGGGAAUACUGCAUAACUAGGAAGUGGGAGAGGUAGACGGUACUCGAUAGGAAGGGGUAAAAUCCUUUGAUCUAUUGAUGACCACCUGUGGCGAAGGCGGUCUACCAGAACACGUUCGACGGUGAGGGAUGAAAGCUGGGGGAGCAAAC
rnacentral:rRNA from 1 species